rnacentral:rRNA from 1 species
CGCGUAGGCGGUUUUGUAAGUCAGACGUGAAAUCCCCAGGCUUAACUUGGGAACUGCGUCUGAUACUGCAAAACUUGAGUGCGGGAGAGGGAUGUGGAAUUCCAGGUGUAGCGGUGAAAUGCGUAGAUAUCUGGAGGAACACCGGUGGCGAAGGCGGCAUCCUGGACCGACACUGACGCUGAGGCGCGAAAGCUAGGGAGCAAACG